rnacentral:snRNA from 1 species
CAUUGUACAUCUUUGCAAUGAUUUAUUGGAACAAUAUAGAGACAAGAUUAGCAUGGGCCCUGUGCAAGGAUGUGUUCCUGAAAAAAAAAAUAAAACAAUGCAUC